rnacentral:rRNA from 1 species
AGAGUUUGAUCCUGGCUCAGAACGAACGCUGGCGGCGUGGAUAAGACAUGCAAGUCGGACGAGAUUUUUCGUUGUAGCAAUACGAUGGAAAGUCUAGUGGCGAACGGGUGCUUAACACGUGGGCAACCUGCCAUGAAGUGGGGGAUAGCUCGCCGAAAGGCGAAUUAAUACCGCAUGUGAUUAGAGAGGACAUCCUUUCGAAAUUAAAGUCGGGGCAACCUGACGCUUCUUGUGGGGCCCGCGGCCUAUCAGCUAGUUGGUGAGGUAACGGCUCACCAAGGCUUUGACGGGUAGCUGGUCUGAGAGGACGACCAGCCACACUGGGACUGAGACACGGCCCAGACACCUACGGGUGGCAGCAGUCGAGAAUUUUUGACAAUGGGGGAAACCCUGAUCGAGCGACGCCGCGUGGAGGAUGAAGGUCUUCGGAUUGUAAACUCCUGUCAUUGGGGAACAAGGUGCAUACGUUAACUGCGUGUGUAUUGAUAGUACCCGAAGAGGAAGAGACGGCUAACUCUGUGCCAGCAGCCGCGGUAAUACAGAGGUCUCAAGCGUUGUUCGGAUUCAUUGGGCGUAAAGGGUGCGUAGGCGGCGCGGUAAGUCGGGUGUGAAAUCUCGGAGCUUAACUCCGAAACUGCAUUCGAUACUGCCGUGCUUGAGGACUGGAGAGGAGACUGGAAUUUACGGUGUAGCGGUGAAAUGCGUAGAUAUCGUAAGGAAGACCAGUGGCGAAAGGCGGGUCUCUGGACAGUUCCUAACGCUGAGGCACGAAAGGUCAGGGGAGCAAACGGGAUUAGAUACCCCGGUAGUCCUGACAGUAAACGGUGCACGUUUGGUGUGGGAGGAUUCGACCCCUUCUGCGCCGGAGCUAACGCGUUAAACGUGCCGCCUGGGGGAGUACGGUCGCAAGAUUAAAACUCAAAGAAAUUGACCGGGGCCCGCACAAGCCG